GAUGAACGCUGGCGGCGUGCCUAAUACAUGCAAGUCGAGCGAACAGACGAGGAGCUUGCGCCUCUCACGUUAGCGGCGGACGGGUGAGUAACACGUGGAUAACCUACCUAUAAGACUGGGAUAACUUCGGGAAACCGGAGCUAAUACCGGAUAAUAUAUUGAACCGCAUGGUUCAAUAGUGAAAGACGGUUUUGCUGUCACUUAUAGAUGGAUCCGCGCCGCUUUAGCUAGUUGGUAAGGUAACGGCUUACCAAGGCAACGAUGCGUAGCCGACCGGAGAGGGUGAUAGGCGACACUGGAACGGAGACACGGUCAAGACUCCUACGGGAGGCAGCAGUAGGGAAUCUUCCGCAAUGGGCGAAAGCCUGACGGAGCAACGCCGCGUGAGUGAUGAAGGUCUUCGGAUCGUAAAACUCUGUUAUUAGGGAAGAACAACUGUGUAAGUAACUAUGCACGUCUUGACGGUACCUAAUCAGAAAGCCCCGGCUAACUACGUG
rnacentral:rRNA from 1 species